rnacentral:rRNA from 1 species
UAUGUAGGGUGCGAGCGUUAAUCGGAAUUACUGGGCGUAAAGCGUGCGCAGGCGGUUUUGUAAGCCAGAUGUGAAAUCCCCGGGCUUAACCUGGGAAUGGCAUUUGGGACUGCAAGGCUUGAGUGCGGCAGAGGAGACUGGAAUUCCUGGUGUAGCAGUGAAAUGCGUAGAUAUCAGGAGGAACACCGAUGGCGAAGGCAGGUCUCUGGGACUGACACUGACGCUCAUGCACGAAAGCGUGGGGAGCAAAC